AACCUGGUUGAUCCUGCCAGUAGUCAUAUGCUUGUCUCAAAGACUAAGCCAUGCAUGUCUAAGUAUAAGUUUUAUACAGCGAAACUGCGAAUGGCUCAUUAAAACAGUUAUAGUUUACUUGAUAAUUACUCUUACAUGGAUACCCGUGGUAAUUCUAGAGCUAAUACAUGCUGAUUUGCCCGACUUUUUGGAAGGGCGGUAUUUAUUAGAUAACAAGCAAUAUUCCUUGUGUCUAUUGUGGUGACUCAUAAUAACUGAUCGAAUCGCACGGCUAUUGCCGCGAUAAAUCAUUCAAGUUUCUGCCCCAUCAGCUGUCGAUGGUAGUGUAUUGGACUACCAUGGCAAUAACGGGUAACGGAGGAUUAGGGUUCGAUUCCGGAGAGGGAGCCUGAGAAACGGCUACCACAUCUAAGGAUGGCAGCAGGCGCGUAAUUACCCAAUUCUGAUUCAGAGAGGUAGUGACAAGAAAUAACAGACCGAUACUAUGUAACGGGGUUGCAAUGAGCCGAAUUUUUCUUCCCUUGGUGAGGAGCAAUUGGAGGGCAAGUCUGGUGCCAGCAGCCGCGGUAAUUCCAGCUCCAAUAGC
rnacentral:rRNA from 1 species